GUUAGCUAGCUUGAGGUUGGAGCCGUUAGCCGUGUAGUGCUGCAAAUAUUCACUGUGGUCUGACGAUUUUGUACUUAGAUUUCACCGAGAAAUAUAACGUGUCGAUGUUUUUAUUUACGUACAAGUUUCGGCUACACGCUCGUAUAUAAAAGGAGGACGCGUGUAUUUGUUGACAGUAAGCACAGCGCGAAUCUGGAUGGUCAUUCAUUUUUCAAGCCGUCUGAGGUUUGCUAGCUUGUUAGCUAGCUGGCUAACUUGUUUACGCGUGUUAUCAGCGGAGGGGAACAUACAGAGUAUUGAAGGCCCCAAAGGUAUUAAAUGUUACAGAGCUGUGGAGUGAGUGUUAGCGUUUCACACAGUUUGUCUGUCUGCGUUUGACUGCCCUUGCAUUUUAGUUGCGUCACAUAGGAACAGAAAUAAACUUCAGCCCGAGUCGACACUGCUAACUCGCGUGCAUCAUUCUGUUAUUUACUGGUAACUUGAGCUUCAUCCGCUGAUUUCACUCAGACCAGCGCUCAAGCUAUUCAGAGACCAUGUCAGAGUUGUAUAUUCGUGUGGCUGAGGAUGAAAACGAAGAGCCCAUGGAGAUCCCCUCAGAGGACGAUGGUACUAUUUUGCUGUCCUCGGUAGCAGCGCAGUUUCCAGGGGCGUGCGGGCUGCGGUACAGGAACCCGGAGUCCCAGUGCAUGAGGGGAGUCCGACUUGUGGAGGGUGUCCUGCAUGCACCUGAGAACGACUGGGGAAACUUGGUCUACGUCGUCAAUUACCCUAAAGAUAACAAAAGGAAGAUGGAAGAAAUAGACGCCGCCUCAGCUGUGAAAGUAAAAAGGGGCUUUCAGAAGACAUCAGAUCUCAUUGUCCUCGGGCUGCCGUGGAAAACAACAGAGCAAGACCUGAAAGAUUAUUUCACUACCUUUGGGGAGGUCAUCAUGGUGCAGGUCAAGAGAGAUGCAAAGACUGGUAACUCAAAAGGGUUUGGGUUUGUCCGGUUCACUGAAUAUGAGACACAAACGAAAGUGAUUGCUCAGAGACACAUGAUUGAUGGACGAUGGUGUGACUGCAAACUUCCCAACUCAAAGGCGUGUCCUGAUGAGCCCAUGCGGAGCCGUAAAAUCUUUGUUGGCCGCUGUACAGAGGACAUGACAACUGAUGAACUGAGGCAGUACUUCAUGCAGUAUGGCGAAGUCACUGAUGUCUUCAUCCCCAAACCUUUCCGGGCAUUUGCAUUUGUCACAUUUGCAGAUGACCAGGUCGCCCAAGCCCUGUGUGGAGAGGACUUGAUCAUCAAGGGCAUCAGUGUGCACAUCUCCAAUGCCGAGCCCAAACACAAUAAUAUUCACCAACUCUUUCCCAAUUUCCCGGGAGGAAGCGCCUCAUUGGCAGCAAUGUUCGACAGAUCUCAGUAUCAAUUCCCCUCCUCCCAUGUGUAAAUGCUUUGUCAUCAAAGAACACAGCUUCACUCUGCAUAUACUGUGUUAGACGGGACCUCGGACAUGGACAGCCCAGGUUGGAGUCAGUUAUGGAGAAGCUGAAGACAUUGUUGGGUGGGCCGGCACAAACCAACAAUGGAAUUGCUGCACGACUGCCUUUAUCCUGAAAAGGAUCUUCACCUCACUAGCAAGAAACCGCGGACCAUCCCUAAAUGAAAUUUAGAGCGGACCAUACUCAAUUGGGCUGAGGUAUAUGUGUAUACCUGCAAAUGUCACAAAUAGGACCAAAGUCACAUCUGCAGUUUGGCAGUGAUUAUACUUAUACUCUUUUUCCGAACUUGUGAAACACAAAGCCUGCCUUAAAUCUGAAACAUGUAUGUCCGUAAUUGGUUCAUUCUUUGUCCUCAAUAACAGUCAGUGAUAACUUGUGGAAGUGUUGACAGGUAGGCUUCUUUUCAAUGUGUUCAGUAAGGCAGGAUGUGUUCUUGUUGUUUUGUUUACCUUGAUUGUAAAGUGGUUGGAAUGUAUGAGCUGAGUUUUCAAAGGGACUUUAACAACUGAUUGAACAUGCCAGCAGGAAUUCACACUUUCUGUAUUGGAAAUAUUUUAGUAUUGCGGUGUAAAAUAAAGGUUUUGAGUUUUUAA